UACGUAGGGGGCGAGCGUUAUCCGGAUUUACUGGGCGUAAAGCGCGUUAAGGCGGUUGGCAAAGUUGGUUGUGAAAUCUCAGGGCUCAACCCUGAAAUUGCGACCAAUACUGGUCGACUAGAGUGCAAGAGAGGAAGGUGGAAUUCCCGGUGUAGUAGUGAAAUGCGUAGAUAUCGGGAGGAACACCAGUGGCGAAGGCGGCCUUCUGGCUUGUAACUGACGCUGUAGCGCGAAAGCGUGGGGAGCGAACCGA
rnacentral:rRNA from 1 species